CUCACUAAAUAUUAAGUCUAAUGGUCUUCCAUCAUUAUAGAGAUGCAGGUACUUUCCUUAUGUAGAUUAUUUUUGACUGGUUAUAGUGGUUCGAUUGUAUUAAAAAGGUACAACCACUCUAUUGAUAUUAGAUUCCUCGGAGUAAAGAUGGGAUUGGGCUCAAUAACUGUUAGGUGAGGGAUCCAAUGAUGGCUUUACAUCUGUUGGUGAAUGGUGGGUCUGAUUUAACUAAGAAAUAUGUCAAUAAUUGUUAAGUGAGGCCACAAGACUUAGAGACUGAACCUACUGCAUCUUGCUUAGUGAAGCAAUGGAUAAGAUAUUGUCCACUCAUUAAUCUGUACUUAUCAAUAACUAUUAGAUGAGGUGUGUAUAGAUCAGUAGGACCACAGUAUCCACUUGAAAUCGAUCAUAUCUAGAUUUUCAUUUCUUCACCCAAGAAGUAUGGAAGAUUUCAGAAAAUAGUGAGAAUCUUGUUUAUUUUUAAAGUUUUUAGAAUAAACAUUAACUAAAUAC
rnacentral:lncRNA from 1 species